rnacentral:pre_miRNA from 1 species
GGGUCUGUACACACGUGUAUGUGUAUAUGUGGAGCAUGUGUGCAAGUGUCCAUGUCUGUGUAUGUCUAUGCGUGUGGAUUUGCAUUCGUGUGGACUCUGUGCAUGCCAGUGUCUGUACGUGAGUGUGUGCAUGUGCGUACAUGUA